UGGGGAAUAUUGCACAAUGGGCGCAAGCCUGAUGCAGCCAUGCCGCGUGUGUGAAGAAGGCCUUCGGGUUGUAAAGCACUUUCAGCGGGGAGGAAGGCGAUAAGGUUAAUAACCUUUUCGAUUGACGUUACCCGCAGAAGAAGCACCGGCUAACUCCGUGCCAGCAGCCGCGGUAAUACGGAGGGUGCAAGCGUUAAUCGGAAUUACUGGGCGUAAAGCGCACGCAGGCGGUUUGUUAAGUCAGAUGUGAAAUCCUCGGGCUCAACCUGGGAACUGCAUCUGAUACUGGCAAGCUUGAGUCUCGUAGAGGGGGGUAGAAUUCCAGGUGUAGCGGUGAAAUGCGUAGAGAUCUGGAGGAAUACCGGUGGCGAAGGCGGCCCCCUGGACGAAGACUGACGCUCAGGUGCGAAGGCGUGGGGAGCAAACAGG
rnacentral:rRNA from 1 species